GACGAACGCUGGCGGCGUGCUUAACACAUGCAAGUCGAACGGUAAGGCCCUUCGGGGUACACGAGUGGCGAACGGGUGAGUAACACGUGAGUAACCUGCCCUUGACUCUGGGAUAACUGCUAGAAAUGGUAGCUAAUACCGGAUACGACCCUCGGUGGCAUCACCAGGGGGUGGAAAGAAUUUCGGUCAAGGAUGGACUCGCGGCCUAUCAGCCAGCUGGUGAGGUAACGGCUCACCAAGGCGACGACGGGUAGCCGGCCUGAGAGGGUGACCGGCCACACUGGGACUGAGAUACGGCCCAGACUCCUACGGGAGGCAGCAGUGGGGAAUAUUGCACAAUGGGCGCAAGCCUGAUGCAGCGACGCCGCGUGAGGGAUGACGGCCUUCGGGUUGUAAACCUCUUUCAGCAUCGACGAAGCGAAAGUGACGGUAGGUGCAGAAGAAGGACCGGCCAACUACGUGCCAGCAGCCGCCGUAA
rnacentral:rRNA from 1 species